rnacentral:rRNA from 1 species
CAAUAGCGUAUAUUAAAGUUGUUGCAGUUAAAAAGCUCGUAGUUGGAGUUCAGAGUGAGCUCAGCCGGUCGGGAUUAUGUCUCAGAACUGGUUGACUCUCUCUUGUUUGUGGAUCCUGUUCGGAGUUAACUCGUCGGAUGUGGAGUCCACAUCGUUUACCUUGAAAAAUUAGAGUGUUCAAAGCAGGCGUUUGCUUGAAUAUAUUAGCAUGGAAUAAUGGAAUAGGACGCUGGUUCUAUUUUGUUGGUUUUGAGAACCAGAGUAAUGAUUAAUAGGGACAGUUGGGGGCGAUUCAUAUUUCAUUGUCAGAGGUGAAAUUCUUGGAUUUGUUUAAAGAACGGACUACUGCGAAAGACAUUUGUCCAAGGAUGUUUUCUAUUAAUUCAAGAACGAAAGUUAAGGGGAGUCGAAGAUGAUUAGAUACCAU